rnacentral:rRNA from 1 species
UGGGAAUUUGGACAAUGGGGAACCCUGAUCCAGCCAUCCCGCGUGUGCGAUGAAGGCCUUCGGGUUGUAAAGCACUUUUGGCAGGAAAGAAACGUCGCGGGUUAAUACCCCGCGGAACUGACGGUACCUGCAGAAUAAGCACCGGCUAACUACGUGCCAGCAGCCGCGGUAAUACGUAGGGUGCAAGCGUUAAUCGGAAUUACUGGGCGUAAAGCGUGCGCAGGCGGUUCGGAAAGAAAGAUGUGAAAUCCCAGAGCUUAACUUUGGAACUGCAUUUUUAACUACCGGGCUAGAGUGUGUCAGAGGGAGGUGGAAUUCCAGCGUGUAGCAGUGAAAUGCGUAGAUAUGCGGAGGAACACCGAUGGCGAAGGCAGCCUCCUGGGAUAACACUGACGCUCAUGCACGAAAGCGUGGGGAGCAAACAGGAUUA